rnacentral:piRNA from 1 species
UUCAUAAUUUGCAUAUCCUCA